rnacentral:tRNA from 1 species
GCUUUCGUAGCGUAGUGGUCGGCACGCUCGACGCAUAUUCGAGAGGUCCUUGGUUCGAUUCCCGGCGAAGGCG